CGCACCUUGCACCCAUUGGUUAUUCCGAUGGGUAUGCCUGUUUGAGUGUCAUUAAAUUAUCAACCUUACAACUUUGUUGGUGUAAGGCUUGGAUGUGAGGGUUAUUGCGGGCUUCCUUCAGUGGAUGGUCAGCUCCCUUUAAUUGCAUUAGUAGGCUUCGUUGUGGGAAGCAUCUACUGAGUGUAUGAUAAUCUAUCUGCGCUCCUUAAAGAUGUGCAAGCAAUGUUAUCAAGUCUGCUUAUAACCGUCCUUCAGUUGGACAAUUUUACUUGACAAUUUGACCUCAAAUCAGGUAGGACUACCCGCUGAACUUAA
rnacentral:misc_RNA from 1 species